rnacentral:rRNA from 1 species
UACAGAGGGUGCAAGCGUUAAUCGGAAUUACUGGGCGUAAAGCGUGCGUAGACGGUUACAUAAGUCGGGUGUGAAAGCCCCGGGCUCAACCUGGGAAUUGCAUUCGAGACUGCGUAGCUAGGGUGCGGAAGAGGGAAGCGGAAUCUCCGGUGUAGCGGUGAAAUGCGUAGAGAUCAGGAAGAACACCCGUGGCGAAGGCGGCUCUCUGGGACGGUACUGACGCUGAGACGCGAAAGCGUGGGGAGCGAACAGG